AGCCUCGUGGACGACUAGAAAAGUCGCGCUGAUUCUCAGUCAGUGAGAAGCGGGUGCAACUCCCGUCGGGGCUCCCA
rnacentral:tRNA from 1 species